rnacentral:rRNA from 1 species
GUUACAGCAGCCGCGGUAAUACGGGGGGGGCAAGCGUUGUUCGGAAUUACUGGGCGUAAAGGGCUCGUAGGCGGCUGGCUAAGUCGGAUGUGAAAUCCCCAGGCUUAACUUGGGAACUGCAUCCGAUACUGGCUGGCUUGAAUCCGGGAGAGGGAUGCAGAAUUCCAGGUGUAGCGGUGAAAUGCGUAGAUAUCUGGAGGAAUACCGGUGGCGAAGGCGGUAUCCUGGACCGGCAUUGACGCUGAUGAGCGAAAGCCAGGGGAGCAAACGGGAUUAGAAACCCCCGUAGUCC